UUUUUUUUUUUUUUUUUUUUUUUUUUUUUUUUUUUUUUUUUUUUUUUUUUUUUUUUUUUUUUUUUUUUUUUUUUUUUUUUUUUUUUUUUUUUUUUUUUUUUUUUUUUUUUUUUUUUUUUUUUUUUUUUUUUUUAUUUUUUUUUUUUUUUUUUUUUUUUUUUAUUUUUUUUUUUUUUUUUUUUUUUUUUUUUUUUAUAUUUUUUUUUUUUUUUUUUUUUUUUUUUUUUUUUUUUUUUUUUUUUUUUUUUUUUUUUUUUUUUUUUUAUUUUUUUUUUUGUUUUUUUUUUUUUUUUUUUUUUUUUUUUUUGUUUUUUUUUUUUUUUUUUUUUUUUUUUUUUUUUUUUUUUUUUUUUUUUUUUUUUUUUUUUUUUAUUAAUAAAAUUUUUUAUUUUUUUUUUAAUAAAUUUWAUUUUUUUAAUAUGAUUUUUUUUAAUUUAUUAUUUUAUUGAAUUUACUUAUUUAUUUUUUUUAUUUUUUUAAUAAUGAUUUAAUUAGUAAUCUUUAUUUUUUAUUAAUAAUGAAUUCGACAAAUUUAAUCCUUAACUGUUUAUCAAAAACAUUUCUUUUAGUUAGUAUUGAAGGUAAUUUCUGCUCUAUGAAUAAUUUUAAAUGGCCGCGGUACAUUGACCGUGCAAAGGUAGCAUAAUAAUUAGUUUAUUAAUUGUGAACUUGUAUGAAUGGGUAUAUAAGGGAUUUUUUUUAUUUUUUUAAUUUUUUGAAUUUUACUUUUAAGUUAAAAGGCUUAAUUUUUUUAUUGGGACGAUAAGACCCUAUAGAACUUAAUUUUUAAUUAAAAUUUAUUCUUUUUUGUUGAUUUUAAGUUUUUUAAUUUUUUAGUUGGGGUGAUUAAUAAAUUUAAACUUUAUUUAUUUAUUUCAUUUUUUGAUGUUUUUUUGUUCCUUUAGUUAGGUUAAAAGAUAAAGUUACCUUAGGGAUAACAGCGUAAUUUUAGUGGGGAGUUCUUAUUUAUACUAAAGUUUUCGACCUCGAUGUUGAAUUAAGAUAACUUUGGGGGGUAGUUUUUUCUUUAGUGAGUCUGUUCGACUUUUAAAUUCUUACAUGAUUUGAGUUCAAACCGGUGUGAGCCAGGUUGGUUUCUAUCUAAUAAUUUUUUCAUUCUUUAGUACGAAAGGACCUAGUAUGUUUAGUUUAUGAUUAUUAUAUGUUUUAUUUUAAUUUU
rnacentral:rRNA from 1 species